rnacentral:rRNA from 1 species
UACGUAGGUGGCAAGCGUUGUCCGGAAUUAUUGGGCGUAAAGCGCGCGCAGGCGGUUUCUUAAGUCUGAUGUGAAAGCCCACGGCUUAACCGUGGAAGGUCAUUGGAAACUGGGAGACUUGAGUGCAGAAGAGAAGAGCGGAAUUCCACGUGUAGCGGUGAAAUGCGUAGAGAUGUGGAGGAACACCAGUGGCGAAGGCGGCUCUUUGGUCUGUAACUGACGCUGAGGCGCGAAAGCGUGGGGAUCGAACAGG